UUCAUUGUGUAUUCUCUGAACCCAUGACCCAACCCGAUCCAAGAUCCGACUGGAAGUAUCAUGCGCAAUGGCUCAUAUAAAAAAGGAGGAUGAGGUAUGGAAUUAUUCCACUUUGGAUCAGGGCUUUCCUCAGAGGUAGGCACAAUAUCUACAUGAAUUUUUUUACUUCAAAUUGGGUCCGAGUAAACAUGAGAGACAUUGGGUUGGUGAUGAAUUUUGAAUUUGCAAACUUUACUGUUUGUGUGCAAAUACCCAGAUUUACUGUUUGUG
rnacentral:lncRNA from 1 species